ACACAGUACAAAGUUCCAUAUAAACAUGAGAAAGAACUCAACUGCCAAUUGAGUUGGCCUUGCUUAGUCGAAGCUCUUAUGUACUGUAAAAGGAGACAGAGUCCCUGUUGUCCAUAUGAAAAACGUGCUGGAUAAGACAUCCUGUGUUAUUAGUGCCUUGAGCACUUGGGCAAGACUAUCAGUGGAAUGGCUUUUGCACUUUUUCUCCUCCUCGUCCCACUGAAGGGGUGACUGAACAAAUGGCUAUGUGGCCAUAUUAACCUGCUGCCUGCCAGGUUAAACUGCAAUAAAAGGAGCUCCUCCCAUUGAGUCAAGAAGUUUGGACAGGACCUUAAAAUCCUUGAACCACAGAGUGCUCUGGCAGCUAAGGAUGGCAGUGACAGUCCUCACUCUUGUGUAUGGAAAAGCCUGCAGGGAGAACCUGUGUUCUGCCACUAUUGUAAGUACAAGGCAUCUGAACUGAGGUUAGAAUUUCAGAUAAUUGGGUUCAGUUCCUGUCAUUACCACUUAUUUCCUCUGUGAGCUUGGCAGGCAUGCUUGUUCUGAGAAGAAAAGGUGCUAACAGCGUUUGCUGUCUUGACAGGAGAGGGUUGAAAAAAAUAAUCACUUAAAAAGAUAGAGGUAUUCUGGCCUGGAUUUGAUCUGAGAAAGGCUGCAAUCUGCUCUACCAGUCCCCACUUCACCUGCAGUUAUCUCUGGCUAUGGUGACAGCUGUGAUAUCUCUGGCUACAAGAGCUCUUUGAUGUCAUGAGAUCUGAGAGCAUCUGAGGGGACUUUUGACUUUGCUAUCUGAAGCUCCAAGAGCAGCCAUUAGGUGUGGCAAGGCAGGACAGAAAAAAAUAAAACCAAUAAGAUCUAUGAAAACUGUCUACACAUAGAACCAACCCAUCCUCUCCUCCCCCCGACCCCCCCCCCAAGAAAAACCAAACCAAAACAAAACAAAAAAAACCCCUCCAAAUAAUUGCAAAAAAAGCACCGUCAUCUUGGAAGAUGCAAUGCCAGCAAUCAAAGUAUUUGUCACAGCCACAUUGCUUUAUGGAAGAGGCUUCAUCUCUCACAGUAUUCAUUUGAUUUCUUCCACUUUACUGAAAUCCUUCAAGCGGAAUGAGGAAAAGGCAUUAUAUUCUUACCAGGAGGCAUCCACAUCCUCUCAGUGGAGGUGAACUCCCAGAAUAAAAGACUUUCCAGAAUAAGUGUUUCUUUCCAGAUGAACUCAAAAACACCAAGAACAAUUGUAAAAUAUCAAGUAAAAAGGACAGACUUUUCUAGAGAAACAAACUGGAAGUAAUUGAAAAAAGGAGUACGUUAGUGAUCAGAAGAGACUGAAAUCUGUCGGUACGAAUAUAUAUAUGUCAAAGAAUUCAUAAAAUCAUUUAGGUAUCCUAAGGUAUGAAAGUACAGACUUCCUGGUUACAGUAUGAGCUUUCCUUGUAUUUUGAUUUCUGAGAACAGUGUUUCCAUUCAAGCCUAAUAUGAUAGUAUAGCUUCCUACGCAUGUCAGAAAUAACCCAAGAAUAAACUAUUGGUAGAAUAUGAAAGAAUAUGUAAAUGUUUGCUUGUUUGUUUGUUUGUUUUAAAAAAGAGAGAAAAAAUGUUCUGUUGCAGAUACAUUGAACAUAUGUAUCUGUAUAUCUGUGUAUGCUUAUUCUGAGAUACUGUAAUAAUGAAGCCUGGGAGGGGACGGAUAGGAUAGUGAGGUCAUGUCAUUCUUCUGUAAUUCUUUCAUUUUUUGUCUCCUUCACCUGUUAUAAAAGGCAGAAAAAUAUAUUUCCCAUAACU